GCGCGAAAACUUUACAAUGCGGGAAACCGUGAUAAGGGAACUCCGAGUGCCCGUAAAAUCGGGCUGUCCAUCUGUUUAAAUAACAGGUGAAGAAAGGGCCGGGCAAGACCGGUGCCAGCCGCCGCGGUAAUACCGGCGGCUCGAGUGGUGGCCACUAUUACUGGGCUUAAAGCGUUCGUAGCUGGUCUGUUAAGUCUCUGGGGAAAUCUACUGGCUUAACCAAUAGACGUUUCAGGGAUACUGGCAGACUAGGGACCGGGAGAGGUGAGAGGUACUCCAGGGGUAGGAGUGAAAUCCUGUAAUCCUUGGGGGACCACCUGUGGCGAAGGCGUCUCACCAGAACGGCUCCGACAGUGAGGGACGAAAGCUGGGGGAGCAAACCGGAUUAGAUACCCGGGUAGUCCCAGCCGUAAACGAUGUGCGUUAGGUGUAUCGAUGACCACGAGUCAUCGAGGUGCCGAAGAGAAAUCGUGAAACGUACCGCCUGGGAAGUACGGUCGCAAGGCUGAAACUUAAAGGAAUUGGCGGGGGA
rnacentral:rRNA from 1 species